UACUGUUGCGGCGCAACAAGCCGACUGGCAACCAGCUCGAUGGAUACAAUGCGUCAUGAGUGCGAGAGUCUAUAGCGUAGAGGGUUUACCGCUCCUGUCAACACAGUGACUGAGCAUAAAUGUGCGAUAUAUCCUAUAGAUAGCAAAGUUUAGGUUUUGUGGAGUUUUGAUAUAUUAUUGGUGAAUUGGGAUUAUUUCUUGGAUUAUAAUUGGAUCUGAUUACUGUAAAUUUAUAGACAAGUUGACCUAGUCAGACGACCAGUGUUUACGUGCAACCGUGAAGAAUUUAGCACCUAAAGUUGCAACACCUGAAUUACGAAGCCGUAAGAACAGUUGAUACGUGGACAGCAUAUCGAAGAGAAGAGGACUGAAUUGUAUGUAUAACAUAUAUGUUCUUUGUUUGGUUUCAUCGUAACUAUUCCGUAUUUCAGCUUUGAAGCAUACGAUAGAAAUAAACGCUAUCAAAAGUCAGUCGUUCUUUAGUCCAGCAUCAACAUUCUUCAAAGAAUUCAACUCUAUUAUGAGUGAUCUCAACCGAACACCGGAGCCAGUACUAUCUGGCUGUGUGGCAUGUAACCGGCCACACACCGAGGACAACUUCGUUUGUUGUGAUAAGUGUGAUCGAUGGUGGCAUUUCUCGUGCGCCGGUGUUACAGCAUCAGUAGAGAUGCGUGAUUGGAUCUGUUCAAAAUGCUUACCUGUCCCGCACACGACGCCGGGUAGCGUAACUUCGUCGUUGAAAUCUGUUUCUUCGAGCCAUCGACUACGAACCGAACAACAUUUGACGUACCUAGCGGAGCAGCAAGAGCUGGAAAGACUGCAAAUGUUAAAAGAAUUUGAGCUGCAGAAGAAACACCUAGAGCAGAAACAUCAGUUGCUAGCUGUGCAAGAUGAAGGCGACAAUCAGAGCGUUCGCAGUCGUCGCAGCAUCGUUAGUCACUCGGCACGCAGCACCCGAACCAUGAAUUGGGUACAGCAACAUAACAAUGCGAGCAAAGAAAAUGUUGCAGCAGGUGCACCGCUGGAGGGAGCGGUAGGCGGGACGGUAAGUGCAGUGCAAGCAACCGCGCCUGCUGGAAACGACACUCAGCAGCGGCCUCAGCAUGUUACGCCCGGGGAGUCCGUGCUGGUUAGAGAGCUUGAAAGGCGUGAAGAAGAAUCUCAACGACAGAUUCAAAUGCUGAGGGAUCAGUUGAAUCAGCUGCAGCUCGAAAUACAACAGCAGAAAAAAGGCAAUCAAGUUACAAACGCGGCGACAUCCAAGGGAGCAGUUUCUAAAACACGUCCCAAUAUUCCGGCUAUCGCAGCACCAGCUCACCGGCAACCUGGUUAUAUAGAUUGGCAAAUUUCCCCUGUCGAAACUGGUCAACCCGCCCCGAUAAUGACAUUCGAGCAGCCGCGAAAACACGCGCGUUCAUUCCAGAAUGCCGACACGGUGCCAGACAUUCCCACAUUCGAACAGCAGCGUAAUGUCGCGCGUAUGAAUCAAAUGAACAGAGAGGUCGGACAAACUGUACGUCAAAGAGAGCAGUCUAGCUGCAUUCCCCAAGCAUCAUCCGUCGAACGGAAUCCAGUAAUCGAACGUCAACGGCCGCAGCCCACACUAACUAUCGCGCACUCGGGACCGAGCAGCAGCGAACCGCCAGCAGACAUGGCCGUGGCCGCGGCAAACAUCGGACCUACUCAGGAGCAAUUGGCGGCAAGGCAGGUUUUACCACGUGACCUACCGAUGUUUAGCGGCGACCCAGCCGACUGGCCUGUAUUUAUUAGUCAUUAUAACUACACAACGCAGGCAUGCGGGUAUAGCAACGGCGAAAACAUGAUUCGGCUUCAACGUUGUCUGAAAGGCGCAGCUUGGGAGUCCGUAAAAAGCCGCCUUAUUCUUCCGGCUUCUACUCCACAAGUGAUAGAGUCUCUGCGAAUGAGAUUUGGGAGACCGGAUCUGUUAAUAGAAUCCUUUAUCGAAAAGGUGAAAGCUGCAUCAACUCCCAGAGCCGACAGACUGGAUACAUUGAUCGAGUUUGGAACAUCAGUCCAAGGCCUUUGCGACCACAUUGUUGCCGCCAAUCUGCUAGAACACCUAGAAAAUCCAACGCUGUUAAAAGAUCUGGUUGGCAAACUUCCUGCGGAAUACAAAAUGAAAUGGGCUUCAUAUCGCAAACAAGCGAUAAAUGUCAAUUUGAAGACCUUUAGCGUCUUUAUGGAGGAAAUUGUUGAAGACGCAUAUAGUGUGUCCACGUUUGCUUCCAACGACCGGCAAACCAAACGUGAUGGAUCUAGACACAACAAUGGUAGCUUCGUUCACGCCGACAUCGGUGACGAUGUGCAAGAACAUAACGAAGAAAGCAGGCCUAAGCACGUAUCGGCAGGUGUAGAAUGUUCCGUCUGCCAUAGGUACGGGCACCGAGCAAAGGAGUGCAAACUAUUCCUGGAAAUGACUGUCGAUGAACGGUGGAAGAAGAUUCAGAAUCAAGAUCUUUGCCGCACAUGUCUGUUUAGUCACGGACGUAGAGCAUGUCGUAACUCUAACAGGUGUGGUAUCGAUGGCUGUCAGUACCGCCAUCAUCCACUGCUACACCCUACCGCAAUUAAGCACCCGCCUUCAAACAGACAUCAGACUGAUCAUAUGCAUCAUCACAACCAAUCGAAGCUCCUAUUCCGAAUAAUUCCGGUCACGUUAUAUGGACAACAAGGUAUCAUCAAUACGUUCGCCUUUUUGGACGAGGGUUCUUCUCUGUCGAUGAUUGAGAGCAGCCUGGCCGAUAGACUAGGAGUUGAUGGAUACAGUAGGCCGCUCUGCUUGAAAUGGACCGGCAACGUAACCCGCGAAGAAAACGACUCCAAAAGAGUGGCAUUCGAAAUCUCUGGACUAGGAAAAACUGAACGUUACUGGAUUAGCGACGUCGGGACUACUAAGUCACUGAAUCUUCCAAUGCAAACAUUGCCCGUGAAAAAGUUAAUGCAGGACUUUCAACAUCUUCGAGGAAUCCCUAUUGAAGAAUACCACGAUGCAGUACCCCGUUUGCUGAUUGGCGUUGAUAAUCUCAAACUAUCACUUCCUUUGAAAGUGCGUGAAGGAAAAGAAGGCGUUCCAGUUGCGGUGAAGACUCGUCUUGGAUGGUGCGUCUAUGGCGGUCAAAGAAGCGAUGAUUCUUCCUUGGCCAGUUACCACAUCUGCGAAUGUAAUGAAGACACAGGAAUGGACGAAACGGUCAAGGCGUAUUUUUCGAUGGAAGACGUUGGUGUGCGUCCGGCGAACGACUGUAUGUCUGAAGAGGACAAACGGGCGCACCAAAUUUUGGAGGAAACCACCAUUUUUGUUGGCGACCGGUAUGAGUCUGGACUUUUGUGGCGUUUCGAUAAGUUCGAAUUACCUGACAGCUACCCAAUGGCUAUCAAAAGGCUACAGUGUUUGCAGCGCAGAAUGGAAAAAGAUCCAGUGCUGAAAGAGAACAUUCAGCGACAAAUACAAGAAUACCUGGAAAGAGGAUAUGCCCAUCGAGCAUCCGCCGAAGAAUUGUCGACAGCUGAUCCACGUCGAAUAUGGUUCCUUCCAUUAGGGGCAGUUGUCAACCCUAAAAAACCCUCCAAAGUUCGUCUUAUAUGGGAUGCUUCGGCAAAAGUCGACGGUAUUUCGUUGAAUGAUAUGCUGUUAAAGGGACCCGACCAGUUGGCUUCGCUACCAGGAGUGAUAUUUCGUUUCCGACAACAUCGUGUUGCAGUCGUCGGGGACAUAAAACAGAUGUUUCACCAAAUAUUCAUCAAAAAUUCGGAUCGCUACGCACAGUGUUUUUUGUGGUCUCCCGAGGCGCAGAAGAAGCCAGACGUUUUCGUAAUGAACGUUGCCACUUUCGGUUCUACCAGCUCCCCGGCCACAGCACAGUUCGUGAAAAACGUUAACGCUCAGAGAUUUUCCGAGGAAUUUCCCAGAGCUGUUGAAGGCAUCGUCUACAACCACUAUGUUGACGACUACCUCGAUAGCUUUCCAGAUGAAGAUGAGGCCAAGCGCGUAGCGGGCGAAGUUCGAGACGUACACAGGAAAGGGGGGUUCGAGAUACGCAAUUGGUGUUCCAAUAGCUCUGCAGUACUGAAACAUUUGGGCGAAAAUCAAGAUAAAGUGGUGAAAACCCUCAAUCCUGAUAGCGGCGGGUUACCUGAUCGCGUCCUAGGUAUGCUGUGGAAUAGUGAAGAAGACGUUAUACACUUUGUGACUGCCAUGCGCGAAAACAUCAAGAAAAUAAUCCAAGAAGAUGCACGACCGACCAAACGCCAAGUUCUACAAUGUGUGAUGACUCUUUUCGACCCAGUAGGGUUACUAGCGCCGUAUUUGAUAUUUGGAAGAGUUCUAAUUCAAGACAUUUGGCGUGCAGGAACCAAAUGGGAUGAACAAGUGGACGAUUCCAUUUUCCAGCGCUGGCGGGAUUGGGUAAAAAUACUACAGGACAUCGACGAAGUACGGAUACCACGGUGCUAUUUUCGUUGUGCAAACCGCCUCAGCCUUGAUCGUAUCCAAUUGCACAUCUUCGUAGACGCCAGUCCGGCUGCGUACUCUUGCGCAUGCUACUUUCGUAUAAUCAACGCACAAGGAAAAGCAGAGGUGGCACUGGUCGCUGCCAAAGCAAAGGUAGCUCCGUUAAAGAUGAUGAGCGUUCCCAGAUUGGAGCUCCAGGCUUGCGUUCUUGGAGUGCGAAUGAUGAAGCUCGUUAUAGACGGUCACACCUUCCCGAUAAAAGCUCGUUUUCUGUGAACCGAUUCCAGUACUGCCCACACUUGGAUCAACGGAGAUCCAUACAAAUAUCGUCCCUUUGUUGCACAUCGGGUCAGUGAAAUCUUGGACACAACAACACGCGAAGAAUGGAGAUGGCUAAGAUCCAAAAUGAACUCGGCAGACGAAGCGACAAAAUGGGGUGUGGGUCCUCAUUUCAACGAUCAGAGCAUUUGGUACAGCGGGCCGAAGUUCUUGCAGUCUUCAGAAGAAAAUUGGCCUUGUGCAGAACCAGAAAAUCCAGAGGAGAAGGAGAUGCGUUCGUGUUUUCUACAUCAAGAAGUACGCGCUCCAGAAAGGAUAGUGGAUGUUACACGAUUCUCCAACUGGAAUAAACUGCUUCGUACGACCGCGUACGUUCAUCGAUUCGUUUCCAACGCUCGGACACCGGUAAAUAACCGCAGCGGUGGGCCUUUGGCUAGAAGAGAGUUGCAGAAGGCAGAAGUAACGCUGUUCAGGAUGGUACAAUGGGAAUGCUAUCCAGAAGAAAUGAUUGCGAUGGCAAACCCAAACGAGCCGAAUCAUGCUGAAGAAAACUUUAUAGAAAAAAGCAGCGUACUCUAUUCACUUACUCCACGCAUCGAUACGCACGGAGUAUUACGAGUCGAUGGUCGUAUCGGAGCUACUAAAGGAGUGACUCGUGACGUAAAGUUUCCUGUAAUUCUUCCCAAGAAACAUCACGUGACAAAUCUAAUACUGGAAGAUUUCCACCGAAGAUUCAAGCAUGGAAAUAAUGAGACAGUCGUAAAUGAAGUUCGUCAAAAAUUCUAUAUCCCUCACUUGCGCAGGAUGGUGAGGAACAUAGCGAGUCGUUGCUUACUGUGUAGGAUUCGGAAAGCUCUUCCGGUAGUUCCACAAAUGGCUCCGCUUCCGGAAGCUCGUUUAUCGCCCUUCGUUCGUCCGUUCACUUAUGUUGGAGUGGACUAUUUUGGCCCAGUAUUUUUGAAAAGAGGCCGGAGUACUGUCAAACGAUGGGUAGCGCUUUAUACCUGCUUGACUAUACGAGCAAUUCACGUAGAGCUGGUUUGCAGCUUAACUACAGAGGCGUUUAUUAUGAGUGUCCGCAGAUUCGUGGGGCGUCGAGGAGCACCGGUUGAGAUUUACAGUGAUAACGCUACUAACUUUCACGGUGCAGAAAGAGUUCUUCGGCAACAGAUCAACGCAGGGUUGGCCUCUACAUUUACCAACACGUGCACUACAUGGAAGUUUAUCCCUCCUGGGGCCCCGCACAUGGGCGGGUCCUGGGAGCGAAUGGUGCGGUCAAUGAAAUCUGCACUCUCAACAGCAAAUAGCGACGAAAAAUUAGAUGACGAGGAAUAUCAGACGCUACUCGUAGAAGCUGAAGCAAUCGUGAACAGUAGACCGUUGACAUACCUACCACUGGUGUCAGCCGAGCAAGAAGCACUGACACCAAAUCACUUUUUGCUCGGUAGUUCAUCGGGAGUCGUCGCGCCAUCAGUUCAGCAAGUUAGUGGACCUCGAGAACUUGGACUAUCCUGGGGAAGACUACAAAAUCAGCUAGACGGAUUCUGGAGAAGAUGGGUGCGUGAGUACUUGCCCACACUCACCAAACGUUCUAAAUGGUUUUCCAAAUCGAGGAAUAUACAACCCGGGGAACUGGUGCUGAUAGUAGAAGAUAGGAAACGGAACGGAUGGACUAGAGGACGCAUCUUGGAAGUCAUCCCUGCAGCAGAUGGUGUAGUUCGUCAAGCGUUAGUGCAAACUAUCAAUGGAAUACUACGGCGGCCAGUAUCGAAGCUUGCCGUAUUGGAGAUAGCUGGAGAAAAUGAAACCUCAGGGACCGAGGGUUUCAUCGGAGGGAGGAUGUUGCGGCGCAACAAGCCGACUGGCAACCAGCUCGAUGGAUACAAUGCGUCAUGAGUGCGAGAGUCUAUAGCGUAGAGGGUUUACCGCUCCUGUCAACACAGUGACUGAGCAUAAAUGUGCGAUAUAUCCUAUAGAUAGCAAAGUUUAGGUUUUGUGGAGUUUUGAUAUAUUAUUGGUGAAUUGGGAUUAUUUCUUGGAUUAUAAUUGGAUCUGAUUACUGUAAAUUUAUAGACAAGUUGACCUAGUCAGACGACCAGUGUUUACGUGCAACCGUGAAGAAUUUAGCACCUAAAGUUGCAACACCUGAAUUACGAAGCCGUAAGAACAGUUGAUACGUGGACAGCAUAUCGAAGAGAAGAGGACUGAAUUCUUUGAAGCAUACGAUAGAAAUAAACGCUAUCAAAAGUCAGUCGUUCUUUAGUCCAGCAUCAACAAUUACUGUAAACUAAUUUUUGUUAGAAGCCUAUUCUUCAAAAUAUGUUGACAU